UACGUAGGUGGCAAGCGAUACUCGGAAUCACUAGGCGUAAAGCGCAGGUAGGCGGCUUGAUAAGUCUUUUGUGAAAGCUCCUGGCUUAACUGGGAGAGGUCAAAGGAAACUGUCAGGCUAGAGUUUGGUAGGGGAUACUGGAAUUCCUGGUGUAGCGGUGAAAUGCGCAGAUAUCAGGAGGAACACCAAUGGCGAAGGCAGCUCGCUGGGACGGUACUGACGCUGAGACGCGAAAGCGUGGGGAGCAAACAGG
rnacentral:rRNA from 1 species